rnacentral:rRNA from 1 species
CAGCCGCCACGGGAAUACGAAGGGUGCAAGCGUUACUCGGAAUUACUGGGCGUAAAGCGUGCGUAGGUGGUGGUUUAAGUCCGUUGUGAAAGCCCUGGGCUCAACCUGGGAAUUGCAGUGGAUACUGGGUCACUAGAGUGUGGUAGAGGAUAGUGGAAUUUCCGGUGUAGCAGUGAAAUGCGUAGAGAUCGGAAGGAACAUCUGUGGCGAAGGCGACUAUCUGGGCCAACACUGACACUGAGGCACGAAAGCGUGGGGAGCAAACAGGAUUAGAUACCCCGUAGUCCCUGUCUCUUAUACA